CUCACACCGCACCCCUCACACACACACCGCACCCUCACAUACACACAGAACCCCCCCAACACACUGCACCACACACAUACUUUCAAAUAUAUAUAUAUAUAUAUAUAUACACACACUACACUCUUAAAGGACCACUCUAGCCACCCAGACCACUUCAGCUUAAUGAAGUGGUCUUGGUGCCAGGUCCUUCUAGGGUUAACCCAUUGUUU